rnacentral:rRNA from 1 species
AUACGUAGGGGGCGAGCGUUGUCCGGAAUGAUUGGGCGUAAAGGGCGCGUAGGCGGCCCGGUAAGUCUGGAGUGAAAGUCCUGUUUUUAAGAUGGGAAUUGCUUUGGAUACUGUCGGGCUUGAGUGCAGGAGAGGUAAGUGGAAUUCCCAGUGUAGCGGUGAAAUGCGUAGAGAUUGGGAGGAACACCAGUGGCGAAGGCGACUUACUGGACUGUAACUGACGCUGAGGCGCGAAAGUGUGGGGAGCAAACAGGAUUAGAUGCCCUGGUAGUCCACACUGUAAACGAUGAAUGCUAGGUGUAGGGGGUAUCGACCCCUUCUGUGCCGCAGUCAAACCAAUAAGCAUUCCGCCUGGGGAGUACGGCCGCAAGGUUGAAACUCAAAUGAAUUGACGGG